AGGUUGAUAUUCCUGUACCAGUUGUUUUUGUUUGAGCAAUGGAGGGACGCAGGAGGCUAAGGAAUGCAUGCGACUGGAAGUGCAUGUCCAAGCAGUAAGUCUUGAGUAGAGUCAAAUGCUUUAAUCUAUACGGACAAGCUGUGAUGGGGAGGGAAAUAAUAGUACCGAAGUUCCUGAUGUCACACUGUCAAGAAAAGCUUCUAGUGAGAAAACAACUGCCCGUACCGUAAACCGACACAGGUAGUCGAGGAGAGUAUCCUAAGGUGAGCGAGCGAACUCUCGUUAAGGAACUCGGCAAAAUGACCCCGUAACUUCGGGAGAAGGGGUGCUGACUUCGGUCAGCCGCAGUGAAUAGGCCCAAGCGACUGUUUAUCAAAAACACAGGUCUCUGCAAAAUCGAAAGAUGAAGUAUAGGGGCUGACGCCUGCCCGGUGCUGGAAGGUUAAGAGGAUGGGUUAGCUUCGGCGAAGCUCAGAAUUGAAGCCCCAGUAAACGGCGGCCGUAACUAUAACGGUCCUAAGGUAGCGAAAUUCCUUGUCGGGUAAGUUCCGACCCGCACGAAAGGCGUAACGAUUUGGGCACUGUCUCAACGAGAGACUCGGUGAAAUUUUAGUACCUGUGAAGAUGCAGGUUACCCGCGACAGGACGGAAAGACCCCAUGGAGCUUUACUGUAGCUUGAUAUUGAGUGUUUGUACCACAUGUACAGGAUAGGUAGGAGCCGAUGAACCCGGAACGCUAGUUUCGGUGGAGGCGCUGGUGGGAUACUACCCUUGUGUUAUGAACCCUCUAACCCGCACCACUUAUCGUGGUGGGAGACAGUGUCAGGUGGGCAGUUUGACUGGGGCGGUCGCCUCCUAAAGAGUAACGGAGGCGCCCAAAGGUUCCCUCAGAAUGGUUGGAAAUCAUUCGCAGAGUGUAAAGGCAGAAGGGAGCUUGACUGCGAGACUUACAAGUCGAGCAGGGACGAAAGUCGGGCUUAGUGAUCCGGUGGUUCCGCAUGGAAGGGCCAUCGCUCAACGGAUAAAAGCUACCCUGGGGAUAACAGGCUUAUCUCCCCCAAGAGUCCACAUCGACGGGGAGGUUUGGCACCUCGAUGUCGGCUCGUCGCAUCCUGGGGCUGUAGUCGGUCCCAAGGGUUGGGCUGUUCGCCCAUUAAAGCGGCACGCGAGCUGGGUUCAGAACGUCGUGAGACAGUUCGGUCCCUAUCCGUCGCGGGCGUUGGAAAUUUGAGAGGAGCUGUCCUUAGUACGAGAGGACCGGGAUGGACUUACCGCUGGUGUACCAGUUGUUCUGCCAAGGGCAUUGCUGGGUAGCUAUGUAGGGAAGGGAUAAACGCUGAAAGCAUCUAAGUGUGAAGCCCACCUCAAGAUGAGAUUUCCCAUUUCUUUAAGAAAGUAAGACCCCUGAGAGAUGAUCAGGUAGAUAGGUUGGAAGUGGAAGUGCAGUGAUGUACGGAGCGGACCAAUACUAAUCGGUCGAGGACUUAACCAA
rnacentral:rRNA from 1 species